GCAGAGGACGUCAGCCAUGGAGAAUGAAUCUUCCACAGUGGAAUGAAGGGCACGGGGUGUGUGGUCUCUAGAGGAUAGGCUGGGGAUACAGAAUCCCACUGGAAAUGGGGUACGGCACACAACAUGGGUCAACUGAUAUGAGUCCUUCUAGCACACAUCUGGCAUUGCAGGCAAAAGGGACAGUAAUCACCUUAUCCUGGUCAGAGUUGUGGUGCACCUGGAGCCUAUCCCAGGAACACUGGGCAUGAGGAGACACCC